AUGCGUAGCGGUAAUGUCGAAUUCGUGAUGAGGAGGACGACGCGGAGAUGGCGACGACGAUGGCUGUGCAGUGUCUCCGACGACGAAAAGCUUCACGGCAGUGAUGAUUGGGUUUCUCAGUUCGCCAGAGCAGGGUCGCCAACGGUUGUUGUUACAAACAAAAAGAAGAGUAACAUGAAGCUCAAGUUCUCAACCAUGUUGUUGUUACAAUUGUUUGUUUUGAAUUUUGAUGAAUUUCUUGAAUGA